GGCGGGCCCUACGCGGGCCAGGCGCGACAGUUCUGCAAGCCCAGGACUGCGGCGUACCGGAGGGACCAAGGCAGCCCGUGGCUCCCUCAUACUGCCAGCUUCGCGUCUAACAUCCGCAGGACUCGGGCUACCUGAGGGUGGAGAGGGUCACUGGCUCCCUGGGCGGAGGAUGCGGAAGGCCCUGAACUAGGAGGGGACCGGCCCUCCGAGCCCCACCCGAACCCGGAACUGGUGCGCCGGAAUGGGGCCCGGCCCCUUGAGAGCGAGCGGAACCUGGAGUGGGACGUCCGCGCUGCCGCCACUGUUGCUGAAUGCCUGCUAUCACGACCAAGAAAGCAGCCUUUAGGUACCAAAAGAUGACAGGUGGCUAAGCCAUGAGGAUCCCUGCCCGCACUUCCUGGUUACCAGACAGGGUAGUUGUGAGGAAGACGUGGGUAAAAAGAUUAGAAUAUUGGAUUCAAUAAAUGCUGGCCGUUUCGUUAUACUUUCCUACAUUAUCUGCAGAGGAUCAGCCUGAUUGCCUAAUGAGGCGCUUCCUCGCGCCAUACAGUGACUCAGAAAUCCCUCUUUGUUUUCAGGACUGAAGAUUGAACCUAGAGCCUCAUACAUACUAGGCUAAUGCUCUUACACUGAACUGAAACCCCAGCCCCAGAAAUUCGCUUUUCAAAAUGUUUUCUCGAGUUAUCUAGAAUGCAAGAAACCUAGGAUGCAAAUCUUGGUCACAAUACCUACCUACCAGACUUGCUCACCCUCUGUUUAAAAACCAAAUCAGGUCGUGAGAGAGGGGAUCAGUAAACUUCAUCUCUGAGCUCAUAGACAAGUGAAAGCCUUCAGGGACAAGCCACCAGCAGAGAAAGCAUCCAGGUUGAACAAAGGUCUGGCAGAUCACAGGAAGAAGCCCCGGCCCAGUGUCUUCAGGGUUCAGAAAGUGCAGCCAAAAGAACAGAAAUAAAUGGGUACAGACGCUCAGAUUCCUCACACACCCUCCGCCUGGGACACUCAGCUGAGCCUUAUGUGGAGUCCAAGGGUGGAACAAGGCUAAUGUUCUUUGGAAAAGAGGCUUGGUCUGGGACUCCAGGGAACUGGAUUUGGUUGCCUGCCCCUGACCUUGAUCCCUGAGCCAGCAGCAGUGAUGGAGGGAAGCAUCUUCAAGCCACACCAUGUCUCUGGGGCAUCUGCAUCUGCUGCAGAUUCCUUUACCACUCCUGGCCUCCUGCUAUUCUCUUUGAAUCCCUGACUCAGCGCGCCCCAGUCCAGAGAGCAGAACCAGCUAUGUGUUUAUAAUGCCAAGAAAAAACUUCAGGCAGUAUGCUUUGCUGACUUCUUCACUGACCCUGAAUCACUUCCUCUUCCAACUUAACCCCUUGCUCUCUUCUCUUCCAGUCUGCUAAACUGAAGAGCCUAACACAUAGACUGUGUUCUGUGUUGGCCAAUAGAAACAGAAUCCAAGCCACACAUUUAAUCCCAGCACUUGGGAGGCAGAGACAGGCAGAUGUCAGUGAGUUCGAGGCCAGCCGGCUCUCCUAAAUGGACAUUCUCCAGCAAGCCUGCGACUGUGGCCAUCUGUUCAUUUAGUCAACAAGCAUGUAUUGAAGAGCUACCAGGACCCGGUGAGGAAUGGAGCUACAGGGAUGAGCGGGAUCCUGGGCUCUUCCUCUCCCUCCCUCUUUCCAGCAGUAAGGAUUGAACUAAGGACCUCAGCCAUGCGAAGCGCUCUCUCCACAGCCACCUCUUUUGGAGAGGGUCUCAUAGUGUGUCCCUGGUUUGUCUGGAACUCAUUACAAAUUCAUAGCAUCUUCCUGCUUUUGCCUCUCAAGUGCUAGGAUUAAAAGUGUGCACCACCACACCUGGUUUAACUUUUAAUUUUGAGAAACAGCCUCAGCCUCUGAAAUAGCUGGGAUUGCAGGCGUGUGCCAGUAAUCAGUAAUCUCAGACCAGGAAGAGAUCAUAUUUUUAAAUAAAUUGUGCGUGAACAUGU